GAUGAAGAACGUAGUGAAAUGCGAUAAGUAGUGUGAAUUGCAGAAUUCAGUGAAUCAUCGAAUCUUUGAACGCACAUUGCGCCCCUUGGUAUUCCAUGGGGCAUGCCUGUUCGAGCGUCAUUUGUACCUUCAAGCUGUGCUUGGUGUUGGGUGUUUGUCUCGCCUCUGCGUGUAGACUCGCCUCAAAACAAUUGGCAGCCGGCGUAUUGAUUUCGGAGCGCAGUACAUCUCGCGCUUUGCACUCAUAACGACGACGUCCAAAAGUACAUUUUUACACUCUUGACCUCGGAUCAGGUAGGGAUACCCGCUGAACUUAAGCAUAUCAAUAAGCGGAGGA
rnacentral:misc_RNA from 1 species